CUAUGGCCAUAGACUUAAGGACUUAGUCUCUUAAAUUUUAUAGGACUACUCCCUUCUACUAGGAUCGAUAGAUCCCAUCUUGAUGCACAUCCUACUCUUAUAGUGGACCAACUGUCGCUAACAACCACUACAAGGGCUCCUUGAGAUCCAUGUUGAUGUGUCAGUCAAACUCCAGCAACCUCACUGCGAGUAGUAAUGCCACCUC
rnacentral:lncRNA from 1 species